GUGUUCGUUGAGCCGAGAGAAGGUUAGCAACCCCCUUGACAAGGACGGGAAUUGGCUUCGGCCAUUCACACACCACGAGGAUGAUGCACAGUGCAGCUCGGAGGAGCAGAAUGU
rnacentral:ncRNA from 1 species